AUUCAUCCGUGUGAAUGUAAGAGUUCACUGAGACUUUAGCUGCUUUGUCUGCUUUCACGAAGACUAUCAAUUUCCAGCAUGAAACAGACCAAACUAUCCACUGGGAAGCGCCUUACAAAACCGAUUCUUUUUGGGACACUGCUCGUAGGUUUGGCCACAGCAUUUAUGAAUAGGCAUUUGUUCAUGGAGGACCUGGCAGAUCUCAGGGAACAGGAACGAUCCCGAAAUGAGGUCAAGCUACAGGAGGUGCUCGAAAGAAGGCAGAGACAAUUCGAUGAAGUUACAGAGAAGAAGAAUGCAAGGGGCAGCUGAGAUGAUGACUGCUCCCUGAACGGAGGAGACCUGCAGGAAACCAGCACGGACCAGGAACAAGUGGGACAAUUUUUGAUUUUGCUUGUUGAUAAAAUGGGAGUCAUGGGACAGAAGUUGCAUGGAAGUACAUGGGUGAUAAAGCAAGUACAAUUUAGCCAAACACAACACAAAGCCUAUACCUGUUUUGUUGACAAUAAUAAUUUGAAUUGGUUGCCUUGAUCAUUUUUAACUGCAACAAUUGGAUCAUUUGCAAGAGGAUUUUACAUCACACAAAUACAAGGAAAUGGUGAAAAUCAGGAAAGAAUGGUCCAAAGCUAGAUGUUCCUCAUUUCUGCCACAAAAGAUGCUUGGACUGUACAAACAUAACAUUUUUAUGAAUACUUAUUUAACAUUUAAUAUUGAUUUCACCAGUUAAAAAAAUCCUACUCAACUAAAUCUUGAUAGAUCAGUUGUUGUUGUACUGUGAUUAUAAUAAUUUUCAUUAAUUGAAAUACAAUUCAGCUAAAAUAAAAUAUGUUGGAUGGCA